UCCCUGAUGGUCCAGUGGUUAAGAUUUUGCACUUCCACUGCAGGGGGCUUGUGUUUGACUCCUGGUUGGGGAA
rnacentral:tRNA from 1 species